UACGUAGGAUGCGAGCGUUGUCCGGAAUUAUUGGGCGUAAAGAGCUCGUAGGCGGUCUGUCGCGUCGGUCGUGAAAACUUGGGGCUUAACCCUGAGCUUGCGGUCGAUACGGGCAUGACUGGAGUUCGGCAGGGGAGACUGGAAUUCCUGGUGUAGCGGUGAAAUGCGUAGAUAUCGGGAGGAACAUCAGUGGCGAAGGCGGCUGCCUGGCCCAAUACUGACACUCAGGUGCGACAGCGUGGGGAGCGAACAGG
rnacentral:rRNA from 1 species